rnacentral:rRNA from 1 species
AGAAUCAACGCUGGCGGCGCGCCUAACACAUGCAAGUCGAACGAGAAAGUGGAGCAAUCCAUGAGUAAAGUGGCGUACGGGUGAGUAACACGUGGAUAAUCUGCCCUUUAGUGGGGAAUACCGCUGGGAAACCGGCGACAAUACCGCAUAAGCUCGAGAGAGGAAAGCAGCAAUGCGCUGAAGGAGGAGUCCGCGGUCGAUUAGUUAGUUGGCGGGGUAAAGGCCCACCAAGACUGUGAUCGAUAGCCGGCCUGAGAGGGCACACGGCCACACUGGCACUGAAACACGGGCCAGACUCCUACGGGAGGCAGCAGUGGGGAAUCUUGCACAAUGGGGGAAACCCUGAUGCAGCGACGCCGCGUGAGCGAUGAAGCCCCUCGGGGUGUAAAGCUCUUUCGGCAGGGAAGAUUAUGACGGUACCUGCAAAAGCAGCUGCGGCUAACGUCGCGCCAGCAGCCGC